AAACAUGUCUUUUUGAGUUAAUUUUAAAGUCUAACCUGCCCACUGAAUAAUUUUUAAAUGGCCGCAGUAUUUUGACUGUGCAAAGGUAGCAUAAUCAUUAGUCUUUUAAUUGAAGGCUGGUAUGAAUGGUUGGACGAGGUAUAUACUGUUUCAUAUAAAUUUAUUAUAGAAUUUUAUAUUUUAGUAAAAAAGCUAAAAUUUUAUUAAAAGACGAGAAGACCCUAUAAAUCUUCAUACUUAAUUUUAUAUAAAUUUUUUAGGUUAAUUUUAUUUUUAUAAUAUUAAGUAUUUUGUUGGGGUGAUAUUAAAAUUUAAUUAACUUUUAAUUAUUCAAAAUCAUUAAUUUAUGAUUUAUUGAUCCAAUAGUAUUGAUUAUAAGAUUAAGUUACUUUAGGGAUAACAGCGUAAUUUUUUUUAAGAGUUCAUAUCGAUAAAAAAGUUUGCGACCUCGAUGUUGGAUUAAGGUAUAAUUUUGGGUGUAGCUGUUCAAAUAUUAAGUCUGUUCGACUUUUAAAUCCUUACAUGAUC
rnacentral:rRNA from 1 species